UACGUAGGGCGCAAGCGUUGUCCGGAAUUAUUGGGCGUAAAGAGCUCGUAGGCGGUUUGUCGCGUCUGCUGUGAAAUCCCGAGGCUCAACCUCGGGCUUGCAGUGGGUACGGGCAGACUAGAGUGCGGUAGGGGAGACUGGAAUUCCUGGUGUAGCGGUGGAAUGCGCAGAUAUCAGGAGGAACACCGAUGGCGAAGGCAGGUCUCUGGGCCGCAACUGACGCUGAGGAGCGAAAGCGUGGGGAGCGAAUGGG
rnacentral:rRNA from 1 species